ACGGGAGGCAGCAGUGAGGAAUAUUGGUCAAUGGGAGAGAUCCUGAACCAGCCAAGCCGCGUGAGGGAAGACGGCCCUAUGGGUUGUAAACCUCUUUUGUCGGAGAACAAAACCCGGGACGAGUCCCGGACUGCGUGUAUCCGAAGAAAAAGCAUCGGCUAACUCCGUGCCAGCAGCCGCGGUAAUACGGAGGAUGCGAGCGUUAUCCGGAUUUAUUGGGUUUAAAGGGUGCGUAGGCGGUCCGUUAAGUCAGCGGUAAAAUUGCGGGGCUCAACCCCGUCGAGCCGUUGAAACUGGCAGACUUGAGUUGGCGAGAAGUACGCGGAAUGCGCGGUGUAGCGGUGAAAUGCAUAGAUAUCGCGCAGAACUCCGAUUGCGAAGGCAGCGUACCGGCGCCAGACUGACGCUGAGGCACGAAAGCGUGGGGAUCGAACAGGAUUAGAUACCCUGGUAGUCCACGCAGUAAACGAUGAAUGCUGGUUGUCCGGGUCGAAUGAGACCUGG
rnacentral:rRNA from 1 species